GGGUGGAGCCUGGCUCCACCUCUCCUAGACCCAUUUAAGAGCUGACCACCAGUGGGGAAGGAUCUCUUCUGGAAAUCCACUACACUGGAGUUUCCUAUGUGAGCCCAGGUUACGGUCUUUUAAAAUAGUUCCAAAGACUGUCUUCUGCCAAGGAAAUGCACAGUAUAACAACAAAGAGUGGAGUGAAUUGAAAGAUGAGAAGCUGAGUACAAAUUGUUUCCCAAGAGCAAACUGAACUAGAUUUACUGCAAACACCAAUGUGACUGAACAGGAACUUUGCAGUCACAGCCAAGCCCCAGGCAGUUACAGAGAUUCAUUCUAUCACUACAAAACAAAAGUUGCAGCUAACAAGAUGUUUUUUAAAUUAACAGUCUUCUGUUUGAAGAAAGGUAGAAUACUUUGCUGUUGUAUUUCUCUUAUGAGCACCUGUGACAUGGAGAAAAUUUGAGGCAUGACUACAGCACUUCUUCUUUUGUCAGGAUGGACAAUAUUUUAUGUUAAACUUCUGUUACUCAUGAGAUGCCAGAGUGAUAUUAUGAUAGACCUCCCUAUUUGUGUUUGUGUAAAUUUUUUAUAGGAUCUUGUAGAAAAGAUGCCUACACUGCCUGCCCUGUAGGGGCUAUUGGCUUCCAGUUUUCCUGUAAUGUCUGGUUUGCAGUAAAUGAAGGAAUCAACUUGAAGCAUGAUAAGGUCUUGCUAGCAAAUACUCACUUUUCUGAUCAAAGCUUGGCUUCACAACUUUCAGGCUGCAGUGUCCUAGCUAUACAGAAUAACUUACUUGCACAUGCUUGCACUGCUUUCCUAACACAGAUCAACAUCAGACAUGCAUGUCUAUCUCCUAAAAAAACUAGUUUCUCAAAGGCUGCCUGCAAGGUAGUUUCAGACUGCAGCUCAAAUUUCUGAUCCUUUAACAGGCUACCUGGUAUGCCAAUAUAAUUGCCAUCAGAAGAUAUGGCUGCAAAGAAAAACAGACAGAAAUGCUGAAAUAUUCUGCAGUGCAUACUGGCUGGCAGUAAUUGAUAGCAGCCCCUCCUCUGUACUGAAAAUGGCAGGCUCUGACUUAGGGCACUUAGCUGGAGAAUUCCUUUGCAUCAAGCUAAGCCCUGUCUGUUGCCCUGGCCUGAACUAGGCCAUGAAGGAAGUGGAAAGACAGAAUGAAGACAUCACCAGCUUAAUUAUUUCUAGAAUGUAUCUUGUAUUCUUUUCUUCUAACUUAACCGCGGUUUCUUUCCAUAACUUAAAUAAUUUGGUUUUUAGGGUAUUUUGUAGCUAACCAAAUUAUACGGAAGUUUUAGUAUGAUUUGCACUUCUAAGUGCCACAUUUGAACACUUUUGUAAUAGUGAAAAAGAAUUGAAAGACGUAUCUUCUUGCAUGAAGAAAAAACAUGAUACAAGUGGAAAAACUUUAGGGUUCACUUCUCACGUACAUAAUACAUUCUGUUCAUGCAGUGAUACUUCACUGAUCACAUUUCUCAUCCCACCUAUUGAUACUUUUAUGCAUUGUUUGCACACAAAACCUCUUUUCACUUGGGAAGAAGUAGACCAGUGAAAUCAGUAUGUUCAUCUCACUGCAGCCACUGGAUGAACAUCCAAUUCAGUGCUUUCUCUACACCUAGAUUUUAACAGUAUUUUCUAGCACAGCCCAUGGAAUAACUGUUACUAGGGUCCUGGCCAUUAAUGUUAAUGUAUAGCCAAGACAAAGAACUGAAGUAUGACAGAUUUGAUAUGAAAGAGAGCAUCAAAUUACAUUACACAUUCAGCUUCUACUGAGAGCUCUACUCAGAGGCUCUACCAGUCAUGGGGCAGUAGUGUCCAUGCGUUUCAUUGGCAUGAUGCACAAAGAAAGCAUCAGUUCAUGGAAACAUAUGGGACCCUGCUUGGGAUCAAGAUACACUUGUUAACUUAUUUUUCUGGCUACGCAGAACUGUCUUUUAUUCUUAUAUUUCAUUGCAGUUUUGUAACUUAAGCAACACAUACUGCAAAAAGAAUGUGAGGAAAUAAAAUGACUUUUCUCCUGCUUUCUUGCACUAAGAAGUUAUUUCCUAAGGCUAUCUACUUAACUGCAACUGCUGUCUGUGCCUGAAGAUUUUAAAAGAAAUGACAUUCUGGCUCAGCACAGCAGCUUGAUUUCUGAUUUUGAUUUCUUCUGUUUUCCAUCAAGCCCUUUGGGGCCCUUAUGCUACUGAGAUUGAGUAGAUCGUUAAAAGGAGAUGCAAUGGCUGCUAUGUUUUCCCUUGACUAUUUUUCAUGGUUGGCGGCAGGAAAGCUUCUUGCCACUCCCUUAUCUGAAGUUUAUGUAAUGAAUUGAUUGUAAGCCCUGCUCUGUUAGAACUUGUUCCAGUUUGGCAGAGAGUGUUUAUUCUUGAAUUACAAUGAUUCCUGUAGAAUUUUUUUCUUGGCUUCAGAUAUAGGAUGGGAAACUUCUUCCUAUCACAGGCGUUUUGGAAACUGUCCCCAAGAAGAAUCAGGCCCUCAAAAAAUAAUGAGAUGGUGUGGUUUUAUAGGAAAACUGAGGUUACAAAGUAUAAAAGAAUGGACCAGCUCUG